rnacentral:rRNA from 1 species
AUGAAAGUCCCGUACAAGGUCAACAAUGAGAUCGAGGAAGCAUUGUUCCCCCGUUUGUUUCCUGGGUCUGAAUCCAUGCCGAACACGUCUGCAGUGGCAAAUCUGAGAAAUGUGAAGAACAUGAAUUGGUGUAAGUUUAUUGCCGACUUCCUGCACGAUGCAUUCUCAAGCAAGAUGUACCAAAAGGGUUGUCAACUGCAUUUAAUGCUCAUGUACGUCGACUGUCUUGACCUGUCCACCAUGGAUUUCACUGGGACAGGAGGCCCACCGCCUGCGCACAAGUUUGUUGUUUCUGCAUGGACUAUCAACACUGUCAAGGCUGUGCUUGCCGCAGACAAGUCUACUGACACCACAUAUGGAAAACUGCAGCUGAUGGCCAAGCAUGCUAUAGACUACAGCGUGUUUGGGGGGCCUCAAAACUUUGGAAAGUGGAUGCACGUGCACUCAGCUCCGUCUUGCCCUGCCGAGGCAAGGGCGCCUGUUGAGCAUCUAAUAGGGCAGUUUUCAUCUGGAAUGACCGGCUUGCUCGGGAAGUUGGUUGAGGGGUGGACGUCCCUCAGUGGCUCUGACAGCGACGCGGUUGCGAGACAGUUCACUUCAUUUGUCCCAGAACAUACACACUGGUCAACCGAUUGCCGUGGCCGGUAUGACUACAACAGUUCCCAAGAGCCUGCUGACACACAAGAUGAACUAGGUGGAGAUGCUGGUCUCAGCAAGGAUGACGACGAUGUCAUGGAGAAUGUGCAAGAGGACACCGAUGAUGAUGAUCAUGCUGAAGUUCGCGCAUGUGGUAACAAGGGCAGGGAUGCAAUAGAUGUCCCCCAACCGGAGAAAGUCAAACAACACACGGCUGCGAGAGGCGAGGGGGUUUUGCCAUCAAAGAGGGGGAGGGCUCCAGAGGGUGUUGGGCAGGGUUCUGCUGGCAAGAGGGUGAAGAAGACUACUACGCGCGGGGCCAAGCAUAUCAGUAAGGACCCGCUCGAACGCCUGCAUUCAAAGUUGUCAACAGGGGGCAACUCAGAUGUACAUGAGGCACCAAGCGACAAUACUGUUGCUGCACCGUUGACCGCUCCCACCAACUCUGAUGCAAGUGGCCGACCAUCUCCGCCGGCUGCAGAUGUGCAGGCUAGAACAACAGGCAUCCGUACAUCGGGGAGUGAUGAGUCGGUAUCUGCCAGGACAGCUGAAAUAUUGCCAACUCUUCUGGCAAUGAAGGAUGCUGCUGUGAACCAUGCCACCCCAUCAGCAAGCAUUGAAGUGGACGCUCCCGAGACGAACCUAAGCAAGGAAGAUUCCCGCUCAUCUGACACUGAUUCCAAGCGCGUGCGUGGUGGCACUCCUGUGUCCACGAUAGAAGCGGCUGAGGCGGCAGUUCACAAGGAUAUUCCAUCUACAGAAGACCGGAGCACAACUGAUGCAGGUGUCAAGCCGGGCACGAGUGACGCAGGUGAAAAACCGGAGCAGACUGCGCCUUUACCCGCAGUGGAAAUCCCCAGCAUAAAUCUGCGCACUUCCAGGCUCCCAGUCAAUGUCGGUGUCCCCUACAGCCCAAACAAGAAGAUUGUCAUGAAAGCUGUGGCUGAUACCGCUGACAACACGCCCCACCCUGCAAAUAAGGCCGAUCAUUCUGUAGUGGCCGAUUCAGAUAUGUUUGUCGAUCUUUCACCCUUGGAUUCUGCCCCGCAAGUCGUUCGUGGUCCGGCCAGUAGGAAUGAGAGGCACCCAAUGGCCUUUACGCCACCGAGCUUCAGCCUUGGCAUCAGUCAAGAUCAACCGGUGGUGCAAGAUCCUAUGCCUGUUGCCUUUGCUUUCCCAGGAGGCAUGCCCGCAAUGAUGGCGCAGCCAAUGGUCGAGGGCAGGAAGGCUGUCAAGUUCGCAGAGCCGAUUGUGCAAGCCACCCCUGAGGAGAUUUCACCGUCACUUGACGAAGCUUACCGCAUGAUUGAGGAGGCAGCAUUGCAGAGGAGGUCCUUACGAGGGCAAGGGCAAUCAAGUUCCAACGUGCCUGCAGAUACGGUAUCUGAGGAUACCAUUUGGAGUGCCACUCCUGGUUCUGUGAGGCAGCAGAGGGUAGUUCACCCACCUCCCGCGGAAGACUACGAGCCCGAAUUCAGGGCCACUAAGGAACAAACCCAGUUGUACGAUAUCGUCAAGCGGUUUGGAAAUGCGAGGGCCAGCAGCAAGCACAUGAAGGAGCUGAAAGCGUAA